AUGUACAUUCCUAUAGCAUAGAAUUAAUUCACUAGAUCCCAUCAUAACUCUGUAGUUAAGUGCACUCAGGCUAGAGCAGUACUGGGAUGGGUGACUGCCAAGGAAGUCCUAGUGUUUUAUAUC
rfam:Picea glauca, whole genome shotgun sequence.